GUCGUGCAGCGUGUGAAGCAGCCUAGUGAUGGAGUUGUGGAUGCUGCACGAGUGAGAAUGCAGGCAUGAGUAGCGAAUGACGGGCGAGAAACCCGUCCGCCGAAUAACCAAGGGUUCCAGGGUCAAGCUAAUCUGCCCUGGGUAAGUCGGGACCUAAGGCGAGGCCGACAGGCGUAGUCGAUGGACAACGGGUUGAUAUUCCCGUACCGGCGAAAAACCGCCCAUGCUGAACAGGGGACACUAACCGCCCGAAACCUGCCUGACCGUCCUUCGGGGCGGAAGGGUUUUGGUGGAGCGCGGGACCUGAUCCUGGGAGGCAAGCGUAUUAACAGGUGUGACGCAGGAAGGUAGCCGAGCCGGGCGAUGGUUGUCCCGGUCCAAGGAUGUAGGGCGAACGGUAGGCAAAUCCGCCGUUCAUGUGCCUGAGAUCUGACGGGACUCCCGUAAAGGGGGGAUUCGGUGAUCCUAUGCUGCCUAGAAAACCUUCGUGAGCGAGUGCUAGAGCCGCCCGUACCCUAAACCGACUCAGGUGGUCAGGUAGAGAAUACCGAGGCGUUCGGGUGAACUAUGGUUAAGGAACUCGGCAAAAUGCCCCCGUAACUUCGGGAGAAGGGGGGCCAUCACUGGUGAGAGGACUUGCUCCUUGAGCUGGGGGUGGCCGCAGAGACCAGCGAGAAGCGACUGUUUACUAAAAACACAGGUCCGUGCGAAGCCGUAAGGCGAUGUAUACGGACUGACGCC
rnacentral:rRNA from 1 species